AUUGAACGCUGGCGGCAGGCCUAACACAUGCAAGUCGCACGAGUGGCGGACGGGUGCGUAAUGUCUGGGAAACUGCCUGCUGGAGGGGGAUAACUACUGGAAACGGUAGCUAAUACCGCAUCCCAUCAGAUGUGCCCAGAUGGGAUUAGCUUGUUGGUGGGGUAACGGCUCACCAAGGGGACGAUCCCUAGCUGGUCUGAGCGGAUUACCUGCCACACUCGAACUGCUACACGGUCCACACUCCUACGGGAGGCGGCAGUAGGGAAUAGUGCACAAUGGGCUCAAGCCUGAUGCAGCCCUGCCGCGUGUAUGAAGAAGGCCUUCGGGUUGUAAAGUACUUUCAGCGGGGAGGCGUUACCCGCAGAAGAAGCACCGGCUAACUCCGUGCCAGCUGCCGCGGUAAUUC
rnacentral:rRNA from 1 species